rnacentral:tRNA from 1 species
GGAGGAUUAGCUCAGCUGGGAGAGCACCUGCCUCGGCGGACUGUAAAUCCGCUCCUUCGGGUUCGGCAGUUCGAAUCUGCCCCCCUCCACCA